rnacentral:rRNA from 1 species
CAUUACCGAGUUUACAACUCCCAAACCCAUGUGAACAUACCUACUGUUGCUUCGGCGGGAUUGCCCCGGGCGCCUCGUGUGCCCCGGAUCAGGCGCCCGCCUAGGAAACUUAAUUCUUGUUUUAUUUUGGAAUCUUCUGAGUAGUUUUUACAAAUAAAUAAAAACUUUCAACAACGGAUCUCUUGGUUCUGGCAUCGAUGAAGAACGCAGCGAAAUGCGAUAAGUAAUGUGAAUUGCAGAAUUCAGUGAAUCAUCGAAUCUUUGAACGCACAUUGCGCCCGCCAGUAUUCUGGCGGGCAUGCCUGUCUGAGCGUCAUUUCAACCCUCAUGCCCCUAGGGCGUGGUGUUGGGGAUCGGCCAAAGCCCGCGAGGGACGGCCGGCCCCUAAAUCUAGUGGCGGACCCGUCGUGGCCUCCUCUGCGAAGUAGUGAUAUUCCGCAUCGGAGAGCGACGAGCCCCUGCCGUUAAACCCCCAACUUUCCAAGGUUGACCUCAGAUCAGGUAGGAAUACCCGCUGAACUUAAGCAUAU